AUUACCUUUCUUCAGAAAAACCCAUAAAUCGGAAAAUCCUGUUAGGUAGAAACAAAAUAUAUGAUGGCUUAUCUUUUCUGUUUAAUAAACAUUAUUUUCUCGAUUCACAGAACUUUCAUAAAAUCACCUCAAGGCCAUAUCAGAGCAAAAUAGUAUUUCUUAUGUUAACAAAUCUUGAACUAUAAACACUUUUUGUACUUUGUUUUAGCAUAUGUACAACCUAAGAAAGACAGCCAAUGCCCUGAUGGAUUCAUGCUGAGAUCAAACCUCUGUUAUCCAUGCCAACCAGGAUAUUUUAGAGGAA